rnacentral:SRP_RNA from 1 species
AGCCGGGGAGUUAGCGGUGCCCUGUACCUGCAAUCCGCUAUAGCAGGGGUGAUGUUCUGCCUAGGGUGACUCGCUGUGGAGCCGCCCCUGGUAAGCGGCGUUGACGCCUUGGUCUUACGCAAUGGGAAUCUCUGAACCGUGUCAGGGCAGGAAUGCAGCAGCACUAAGGAGAACCUCUCAUGUGCCGUGAGGGAGCCGGGGCCGAGCUGGCUGCCAGGGUAACGUCUAUGGCGACCACUCG